UUAGGUUUCCUCCUCGAAGCGCCGCCAGAAAAGCCCAAUAUUUCCCCCUUCUCCCGAAGCGUCCAGGCGACAUCGAGCCAUCCUCCACCGUUGCGCCGCCGUGCUCACCCCACACCGUCCGGUCGUGCUCGCCCCCGUCCAGAUCCACCACGCAUGGUCUAUGCAGAUCGUUGCUCUCCUACACUGCCGCCUCUCCUUGCCGCCAGAGGGACAGAGAACAGGGGGAUUGAGACCGUGGAGGAAAGGCUACAGGUGUCGGCGCCGCCCAACAGGAGCCCGUGAUGGCCGGUCGGCUCGGACGACAGCGCCGGCAUCUACAUGACCUUGAUGAAGUCCGACCCCAGCUCCACCUCUGCACUGGCCAUGACACCAUGACGCCCCAGCUACCUAGAUCUGUAUACUUUCCAGGAGAUAGGAAACUAAGGUCAGGAUCCCAGAACAUCCGCAAGUACAAUUUCAGAACUUCAUGGUAAAAAUGUCCAUUAUAUAAUAAUACCUUAUUAGAUUAUGCAAUGCUCAGUUGCGUUUUUCUAAUCUAAGUUGGUCAUUGUGCUAGUAUUAAACUUUUCUGGUUAAAGUUUAAUUUUGUAUUUGUCUUGCACUACAGGCUUUUUAUUGAUGAACCUAUUUAGUAUAUACCCCCAGUUAUCUUGAUAAUUGUUUUUGUAUUCUUAUCUAUGCUAAUUUCCUUUAACUUAAUUAGCUCAAUCAGAGGGUUCUAUGUCUAUAGACUAAAUACUCGAAAGCCGCUCUUCAUCAUCUUUUUGUUUAAUCCAUUCGUAGCAUAAUAGCCUCUACAUGCUAAGAUGUUAUAUUAUCUCAGCAGGUUCACACAUUUAGGAUGUAGAAAUUAGUGCAUUUGCAGUAGUUGUGCACAACAUAUAUUUCAUAUUAUAUUUUUGUUUCUUUUGUUGGACUAUCCUGUCAAAUUCAGCAAGGAAGUUAGUGUUUUUCUAUAUAAAGGGUUGCUAUUUCAUAACAACAAGGAACUAUAGAGCAGUUCCGUCAGGCAAAUUGCUUCUGUUCUCCCGAGAUAUUUCCUGAAUCCAAGUUUGAUGCCUACAGCACAUGGCACAUCUUCAGGUUAUAUAUGAUUCAACAUUGGAUGUCCAAUUUAUGGUUUUUUUGUAGUACUUCGUAAAUCUAACGAUGGCUUUAGUAGGCUCAUUAUUGAUUGCUAAAAAUCGGUAUAACAUUUUGACAACACAUAUAUUGUAGAAAAUUAAUUUACGCAUGUGCUUUGUUAUGUUGCGAGGUUAUUGUACCGAGGAGAAGUUUCUAGAUCAACUACUAUUUGAGAAUUCAAUGACAAACUAGGUUUUGGUGAUAAUCAUAGUUGAGAUCUAUUUACAGGCUUUCACUUGCAUCACAAAUUCUCAUGAUCAUGAUUGAUUUUUAAGUAUCAUAGAAGUGUGUUUGAAGUUUCAUCAUUUGUGUUUCUAUAGAGCUCCCAGCCUGCACCCUUCGCUGCUCGCAUGCGUGCUGGAUCCGGCCGCGGUCGAGUGCGUGCUAGUGGCGCACAGCGUGCUUGCGUCGGAGCCGGAGCUCACGCGCGCACCGGCAUCCGAGUUCACGUGCACGCAUCUGCGUGUCUGACGCGGAGGCCAGAGCUCACACCCGUGUCUGCGUCUGGACGAGCAUGGUGGCUGCCACCGCCGCGUGCACGCGCCGGACCACCUCGCAUACCCGCGCGUAUCGCGUUCCUCGGGCCGGAGCUCGUUAGCACUGUCUCCGGUCUGUGUGCAUGUGAGUUGUUCGAUGAAAUGCCGCACACAGAGAGAAGAAGUGGGGGUCACAGUUAUUUUGGAGCAAAAAAUAGAGGAUUGCCCGGACGCGCCCGGACACUGACUGGGCGUGCCUGCGGAUGUAUGAGGGGCCAAAUUUGCCCAGUGCCGCUGUAGAUGCUCUAACAUAUGGUUUUUCUUGAUAGGUUCUGAAACUAGACAGCCAAAAUGUCAAUACUUUAUAUGAAAGGGCUCAAGCUUACACUCAUCUUGCUAACCUGGAGUUAGAAUAGGUUGACAUUAAGAAGGCACUAGAAAUCGAUCCUGAAAACAGGCAAGUUCCAUUGAAUGGUCUAUUAUAUAAACCUUAAUUUAAUACUUAGAACUUUACACUGUCAAUUUGAUUUUGAUGUCGCCGCUACUUACUUAAUUUGAUACUAAGAAGCAUGCACUGUCAAUUUGAUUUUGAUGUCGCAGCAACUUACAGGGAUGUGAAGUUAACAUACAAUGCUGAAGGAGAAGAUCAAGGAAAUCAAUAAGGAUGCCGAUUUCUACAGCGAUAUGUUUGCCAUGAUGUUGGCUAGCUGUAGCAAAUUGUAGCUAGCUAGCCAAUUUUAGACAAACAUGCAGUGGUUGGUUAGUUUAGUUAGCCUGUUGUAGCUAAUUGUAGCUAGCUAGCCUAAUUCUGGACAAACAUGCGGUGCUGGUGAUAUUAUGGCAUCUGAUGUGUAUAUGUGAUUACUGAUAUCCGGAGUUAUCUAUAUUAAUUAUAUGAUUUGACUUAUGAUCCA